rnacentral:rRNA from 1 species
AUUGAACGCUGGCGGCAGGCCUAACACAUGCAAGUCGAACGGCAGCACAGAAGAGCUUGCUCUUUGGGUGGCGAGUGGCGGGCGGGUGAGUAAUGUCUGGGAAACUGCCCGAUGGAGGGGGAUAACUACUGGAAACGGUAGCUAAUACCGCAUAACGUCGCGAGACCAAAGUGGGGGACCUUCGGGCCUCACACCAUCGGAUGUGCCCAGAUGGGAUUAGCUAGUAGGUGGGGUAAUGGCUCACCUAGGCGACGAUCCCUAGCUGGUCUGAGAGGAUGACCAGCCACACUGGAACUGAGACACGGUCCAGACUCCUACGGGAGGCAGCAGUGGGGAAUAUUGCACAAUGGGCGCAAGCCUGAUGCAGCCAUGCCGCGUGUAUGAAGAAGGCCUUCGGGUUGUAAAGUACUUUCAGCGGGGAGGAAGGCGGUGAGGUUAAUAACCUCGCCGAUUGACGUUACCCGCAGAAGGAGCACCGGCUAACUCCGUGCCAGCCGCCGCCGUAA